GGCUCGUUGGUCUAGGGGUAUGAUUCUCGCUUUGGGUGCGAGACGUCCGGUUCAAAUCCGAAACCGAGCCC
rnacentral:tRNA from 1 species